rnacentral:rRNA from 1 species
GUUGUUGCUGGCUCCUCAGGCAUGUGCACGCUUGUCAUUUUAUUUAUUUAUUUCUCCACUGUGCACCAACUGUAGGUCUGGAGUUUUUGUUUGAAAUCCUUUUGUUUUCGAUUGAGGAUUGCUGUCUCAGCUUUGCCUUGCAUCUCCAGGUCUAUAUUUUAUACAAUCACUCAAUGUGUUUGGAAUGUUGAAUUGCAAAUAUAUAUAUACAACUUUCAGCAACGGAUCUCUUGGCUCUCGCAUCGAUGAAGAACGCAGCGAAAUGCGAUAAGUAAUGUGAAUUGCAGAAUUCAGUGAAUCAUCGAAUCUUUGAACGCAUCUUGCGCUCCUUGGUAUUCUGAGGAGCAUGCCUGUUUGAGGGUCAUCAAGUUCUCAACCACGUUGAUUUGCUUCAAUCUGGAUUGGAUUUGGGGUUUGCAGGCCUUUUCAAAAGGGUCUGCUUUCCUAAAAUGAAUUAGUGGUAUAUCUGAGCAGAGACUUAUGUACUACAGGUGUGAUAACUAUCUAUGCCUUUGUAAAGUGCUGCACAAAACCACUUCAAAAUCUCAUUGUUGACCAAUUUGACCUCAAAUCAGGUAGGACUACCCGCUGAACUUAAGCAUAUCAAUA